UCUAAGGGGGAGGAGUGAUGGAUCUCUGGCAGUAUUUGAGUACCUCAUUGGUACACAGCGACACAGAGAGUCUCGGCCAAUAAUUGCACGGUACAGUCGUGGACUGCGUCAACGGUGCAGAAGGAAGUUGUCAUUUGGCAUGCAGUGUCGGUUUAUUUUCGACUGUUCAGUGGAAGUCAUUCCCGCUACUGUGUUCGUCAGUUCCUGAAAAAACAAUGGCGAAGAUAAAACUCCCAGGAACGUUA